rnacentral:rRNA from 1 species
AGCCUAACCAGUCAUUUACCCGUCAACUAAAAAUUACCCCCACCCACAAACUAAAACAUUCUCUUUAGCUUAGUAUAGGUGAUAGAAAAGCUCCUCCAGUGCAAUAGAGAUUCUGUACCGUAAGGGAAAGAUGAAAUAAUAAUGAAACCCCAAGCAAUACACAGCAAAGAUAAGCCCUUGUACCUCUUGCAUCAUGGUUUAGCAAGAAUAACCAAGCAAAACGAAUUUAAGCUUGCCCUCCCGAAACCCAAGCGAGCUACUUGUAGGCAGCUACCCCCUGAGCGAACCCGUCUCUGUAGCAAAAGAGUGGGACGACCUACUAGUAGAGGUGAAAAGCCAACCGAGCUGGGUGAUAGCUGGUUGCCUGUAAAACGAAUCUAAGUUCACCCUUAAUUCCCCUCCAAGGACCCUAACUAACCCUCGCACGUAGCGAAUUAAGAGUAAUUUAAAGGAGGAACAGCUCCUUUAAAAUAAGGAUACAACCUCUUACAGCGGAUAAUAUAACCCAUCUUCCCUAGUCUGUUGGCCUUUAAGCAGCCACCAACAAAGAGUGCGUCAAAGCUCCCUUCCUAAAAAUAUAUAGACAAUAUGAGUCCCUCCCCACUAACAGGCCAAUCUAUCAUAAUAGGAGAAUCAAUGCUAGAAUGAGUAACUAGGAUUAUCCACCUCUCAAGCGCAAACUUACAUCCCUACAUUAUUAACAGUACUUAAUUAAUGCUACAAUCCUAACAAGUCCAAACAUUAAAACCACCCUGUUACCCCAACUCAGGAGCGCCUACUAGAAAGACCAAAAUCUGUAAAAGGAACUAGGCAAGCCUAAGACCCGACUGUUUACCAAAAACAUAGCCUUCAGCAAGCCAAGUAUUGAAGGUGAUGCCUGCCCAGUGACCACUAGUUUAACGGCCGCGGUAUCCUAACCGUGCGAAGGUAGCGCAAUCAAUUGUCCCAUAAAUCGGGACUAGUAUGAACGGCUAAACGAGGUCUUAACUGUCUCUUACAGAUGGUCAGUGAAAUUGAUCUUCCUGUGCAAAAGCAGGGAUAGGCACAUAAGACGAGAAGACCCUGUGGAACUUAAAAAUCAGCAGCCACCACAUAUAAGCACACUCCUACCAGGACCACAACCAAAUACCCAAACUACUGGCCCGCAUUUUUCGGUUGGGGCGACCUUGGAGAAAAGAAAAACCUCCAAAAACAAGGCCACACCCCUUAACCAAGAGUAACCUCUCAACGUACUAAUAGUGACCAGACCCAAUAAACAUUGAUUAAUGGACCAAGCUACCCCAGGGAUAACAGCGCAAUCUCUCCUAAGAGCCCCUAUCGACGGAGAGGUUUACGACCUCGAUGUUGGAUCAGGACAUCCUAAUGGUGCAGCCGCUAUUAAGGGUUCGUUUGUUCAACGAUUAACAGUCCUACGUGAUCUGAGUUCAGACCGGAGCAAUCCAGGUCGGUUUCUAUCUAUGAAAUACUUCCCCCAGUACGAAAGGACCGGGAAAGUAAGGCCAAUACUAUAAGCACGCCUUCUCCUCAAAUAAUGACCCCAACUAAAUUAUAAAAGGAACUCCCACAUAAAU